AGAUAUUAAUACCCUCUCCAUCCGUCCCAAAUGCCACUGAAAUCUCCGGGUGAAAUCGGAAUCCUGACAAGCUCGGGAGAGUUUCCAAAAUGCUGAGGGCGAUUGUGUUUGCUGCCGUGUGCUGUGUCCUGCUAACGGAGGCAGUGAGCUGGCGGGAGGCGCUGGAGGAGAGGGAAGAAUCUGAGCUGCCAAACCAGAUCACCGAAAACGUUCUGGAAUUUUCGAAGGGAGCUGGUAUAUACCGAGCAACAAUGAGACGGUCCAGGUCAAAAUGUCCAGGCGAUCCAGACUGCUUUGUGGCUUUAAUGGGUAGAAGAUGAAUAAAAAGAACAGCAAGUGGACCUGUAGCUAAAAGAUUAAACAUAGUAA